UGAGCAUAGAAACAGUAGCAAUUUUAGAGAAAAACCAGCGCGCGCACGGGAGAAAUUGUGAGAUUUUGGGGCUGAAAAAUUCGGAUUAAAUUGCGUUUAAUUCCAGAUUUAAUUAUCCAGUUUGUAUAAUUUUUACUGCUUUUGGACCCAACGAGCCUAAGGAUAUCUCUGAUAAGGUAAGGGUAAAGCAAAGGCCGAGGGCGAGGAUCGUUCCAUUUAGCAGCCGGCCGCGUUGGUAAGGUGUACAGUUAGCUGCCCCCGUCAUCUCUGAUGUUUUGCUAGAGUCGUUGUCUUUUAUUUUUGACUGUGCCAGGUUGUCAUUUGUACCUCCUAUUGUUGGCACAGGGUCUGUAUGUAUUUUUAUAUACUUCAUGACCGCUGUAUCAGCGGGGUGCUUGUGGGCAUGCAUGUUUACCGUUUUGCUUCCGCUGUUAAAUUUCUUAUUUAUGCAUGCCAGGGCAUUUCUGUCUUUUGUCUAUUCCUCUUCCCU